CUGGACUGUAACUGUUAGGUUGAAUGCCCUCCACCAAUACCCUGGACUGUAACUGUUAGGUUGAAUGCCCUCCACCAAUACCCUGGACUGUAACUGUUAGGUUGAAUGCCCUCCACCAAUCCCCUGGACUGUAACUGUUAGGUUGAAUGCCCUCCUCCAAUCCCCUGGACUGUUACUGUUAGGUUGAAUGCCCUCCACCAAUACCCUGGACUGUAACUGUUAGGUUGAAUGCCCUCCUCCAAUCCCCUGGACUGUAACUGUUAGGUUGAAUGCCCUCCACCAAUACCCUGGACUGUAACUGUUAGGUUGAAUGCCCUCCUCCAAUCCCCUGGACUGUUACUGUUAGGUUGAAUGCCCUCCUCCAAUCCCCUGGACUGUUACUGUUAGGUUGAAUGACUAACGAUGAAGCCUACCGAAGCCUACAGUGAUUUGCUCUGACAGCAUUUUCUAUGUUAAUUUGACUAAUGAGUAACAUUUAAAGUAUUU
rnacentral:lncRNA from 1 species